ensembl:lncRNA
AUCUAAAUGUAAAUGUUAAAUGUUAUAUCUAAAUGUUAAAUCUAAAUCUAAAUGUUAAAUGUUAUAUCUAAAUGUUAAAUCUAAAUCUCAAUGUUAAAUGUUAUAUCUACAUUUAGAUUUAACAUUUAUAUUAUUUAACAACUUUGUUACUGCCAAACAUCCUUGGAAAAGUUAUUGCAUGAAUGUACAUGAAUUUCUCUCUUAAUGUUGGAAAAAGUGACAUGUGAAUAUUUUUGUGCUUUUUUGUUCAUAUGAUAAGGCUAAAUGUGGAAAAACUGCGCAGAUUUUGAAAUGUGCCACAUUUUACAAACGGCGGCCCAUAGAAGAGAUGUAACUUAAAAGUUGCAUUAAAGUACACAGGUGAGGUGACAAUUAAGUGACCGUCUGGAUGAUAAUAACUACAGUAGUGACGUUACUUAAUUAAGAAACCUGGUUUAACUGUAAUGGGCCAAGCAUCUGCAAACUGAGAAGCAUAACGAGCUUCUUCUGGUUUGAACAGGGAAGCAUCAUGUCAUGGAGCCUCCUUGUGAGAGAGAUUUGCUCUGUAAUCAAACAUUUACAGCAAAGUCCAUUUACUUUUUAAGGAAUCCACUGUGUGUGUGUGUGGGGGGGUACACUGCUGCUCUGUGUACUCUCGGCUGCGGCGUUCCUUCCGUUGGAUCAUUAAACCCUCACAUUUGUGUUUGGGGGAUGUGAACAUGUGGACAGGUCUGCUUUUAGUCAGAGGAGGCUUGUUUAUCUGGAGAGGAGGAUGUGAGAUAACCGCUGCAGGACGAGAGAAACAGUACGUUAUCUCCACCGAAUGGGCUUCGUUAGAAGAAGAGGAACGCCGGGAGGCCCGACGUUCAUCAUGUAAUAAUCUACUUUCACGGUUAACUGAUGAAUCGGCUGUGAGAUGUGUGAAGAUCAGGUGGAAGUAGAAGCAGUCAAAUAGAACGUUUCUUUGGCUUUCAGUGGCUUAAAAAACAACUCAGCGAUUAUUGUGGAUUAAUGUUUCUAAGCUUCAGAAGGAUUUACAAGAUACAAGAUACAAAAUCGUCUACUAGAAACAAACCAUGAGCUCAAUCGUUCCCGUCAGACUCCCGCUGAUUAGAGCCGAGUCAAUUAGUCCUUGAUUGAUGAAGCCGCUGACUGAUAUUCAUCGGCUUCACUUCAUAAUCCAUCUAUUAUUCAAGCCACAGCAAACAAGGCUUUUUGAUUCACUGGCAGCAGCUCAAAUGUGAAUAUUUGCAUUUAAAUGACUGGAAGUUGAAAAUCUUCACAUGUUCACACUAUGAGCAACAAGGGAAGACCACCGGCGCUGACGAGCUCAGCUCGGUCCAAAGUUGAUCCCACUGCUUUUCCUGGCGAGACCCAGACCAUCUGUUUGAAAUGGACCAUAAUUCACUAAAUGAACAUCAUGCUGCGUUGAAGAAGACUUGAAACUACAGAUUGAGGCCAUAAACUCAUGUUUACAGUGUUUACUGAGGGAAUAAAUCAAGAGAGAAGUAGAGUCAUUUUCUCAUAGACGUCUAUGGGACCAGAUGAGUCGCCCCCUGCUGUUCACUACGGAGAAUGCAGCUUUAACGUUUCAACCAUAGUUUAAGGUUUAGUGAUUUAUAUUUGUAUCCAUAAAAUGUUGGAUGGUAGUAGAAAAAAGCUCAAGAUGACAGGGUGAAGAUCAAUUGAUAAUGAACAUUUUUUAUAGUAAUAAUUUCAAACGUUAUUGUUUUCGGCAACACAUCAUGUGAUAAAUGUUUUUUUCAUGCUGUUCUCUUCUCCGUUUCUUAGAACAGCAAAUAUUAAAAUACAAAGAAGAAUUUGUAAAUCACUUCCACCUUAACAGUCUGUAAUGGGCAGAUUAAUCCAUGAUGAAAAUAGAAAAUUGCAGUACUGUAAUUGAUUAUAAAAAUGUCAACAUCAGAAGAAUUACAAAGCGAUAUAAAUGUUGUAUAUUAAAUAAUUUUCUCCGUAACCGUGUUCUCAUCAAAUGUGAAUGUUCUCGUCAUCAAGGUGUUCAUCUCAACACUUUAAUACCCAGCAUCGUGUAGGGAAAGCGGGACUCACCGUGCGCGUACACGUAAACAGACACAACGUGAAGAAGAGUAAACUCCUCAUCGUCUCUGCUCGGGUACGAGCCGAACCGAGCCGAGUCGAACCAAACCCGGAGACAAAAACUAGAGUCCCGGACUUAAUUUAAACUCCACGUUACUUUGGGUCAUCCCGUCCGAAGCAUCUGCAUGUUGUUUCAACUCCAUUAAUGAAAAAGGAACAUUUAAAAAAGCGCAGUGGAAAUAAAAAAGCAUGGAUAUUUGGGAGUCGCUGAGAGGAGUGAUGCGCGGGAUCGGGAACACGCACCUCCAUCUGGCACGCGCAGCGACGCGCACGGAGAUGGUUCUGGGGUUCAAAAUAAAAGCAUUAUUGAGGAUUAUUGUAAAAUAUAGAAAUAGAAUUACUGUAAGUAAUUUAUUGAAGUCUUCUCAAUCCUCUUUUUGUUGUAUUGGAUGUGUUUUUUCAUGUCAGGCAGCCAUUAAGUUAAAUUACUUAUUAAUAUCAGGUUGUCUCGUGUCUAUAUUGUCUCGUGAUUUCCUGUUUUAUUUUGAAACUAACCUUCAGUUUCAGACAACUUGCUCUUUCCCCCGUGUGCCGGUCCGAUUGUCCGCCCGCCCCUGACUGUUCCCACCUGUGCCUUUAACCUGUGUGUGUUAUAUUGUCUGCGUCUCCCUUUGUCCUGUGCCAUUUCGUCUUGUCCCAUGUCACAGAGAGCCAGCGCGUACCAAUGUCGACUGUCAAGUCCAAGGUUUUUUGUACCUUGUUCAGGCGCUUUCUGUCGAUUCCUUUUUCAGCCUAGUGGGUUUUUUUCUAGAUCAUUUUUGUUCUUAGAUUUAGUAUAGUUUUUAUUUUCCUCUACCAAGAGUGAUUUUCAUUUGCUGCCUAUUUUGUUCAAAACUUCAUCGCCUCAGGAAAGGUGCAUUUGGGUUCAGGGUCGUGACCGGAAACACACAGGUCUAUCAGAGGUCAAGUGGUACAGGAUGUAGAAUAACGCGGUGGUUUUCAAGUGGUUUUAUUUUAAACAAUAAAAGGUUAAAAACGUAUUUAAUCAUUGAGUUAAAUGUGAAAGAAAACAUUUUAAAGAAAUUAUAAAUGCGCCCAUCAAAAAUACACAAUCACAACCAUCUUGGUUGGUCUUUCCAGAGGAUGGGGCUUGGUCAUUAUUGGGUAUUUAUUCCUCGAGUUAUAUGUAAAUCAAAAUGGCAAAUAUGUUCUCUGGUCAUCAUGACGCUGUUGACAGAAACAAUCAUUUGACCUUAAAAGUGAGCUCUUUUUUUAAGGAAUUAGAUGUACAGAAUGAAUAAACAAUCGAGAUACCCUCAUGCACCUGAUUAUUGUAGUAGUGUUGAGCCCAUGAAGCCUGUCAUCAAUAUGCUGUCAGAUAUUUCCACCACUAGUUUAUUUAUUGAGUGCAGCAAAAGUCUGUUUUUUUAAGAAACAGAUUUGGGAGAACACUUAGAGUAGAGUAGUAAAGUAGAAGUUAAUUGUUUUAACAAUCUUUCCUCACCUUUCGAAUUUACGUUACUAUAAUGUAUUUUUUAUCACUCUAAAUAAAAACUUUCAGUGUUUCUUCAGAUCAAUUGUGACUUUACAAAAAA